GGAGAGGUGGCUCAGUAGUUAAGAGCACUGGCUGCCCUGGCAGAGAACCUGGGUUCAAUUCCCAGUAUCCA
rnacentral:tRNA from 1 species